rnacentral:rRNA from 1 species
AUUGAACGCUGGCGGCAGGCCUAACACAUGCAAGUCGAACGAGUGGCGGACGGGUGAGUAAUGCUUGGGAAUCUAGCUUAUGGAGGGGGAUAACUACGGGAAACUGUAGCUAAUACCGCGUACCAUAGGAUGAGCCCAAGUGGGAUUAGGUAGUUGGUGAGGUAAAGGCUCACAAAGCCGACGAUCCCUAGCUGGUCUGAGAGGAUGACCAGCCACACGGGGACUGAGAAACGGCACAGAUUCCUACGGGAGGCAGCAGUGGGGAAUAGUGCGCAAUGGGGGCAACCUGACGCAGCCAUGCGGCGUGAAUGAAGAAGGCCUUCGGGGUGUAAAGUUCUUUCGGUAGCGAGGCGUUAACUACAGAAGAAGCACCGGCUAACUCCGUGCCAGCCGCCGCGGUAAUAC